rnacentral:rRNA from 1 species
AUUUCUAGAGAUAGAAAGUUACUUCGGUACAUCGGUGACAGGUGGUGCAUGGUUGUCGUCAGCUCGUGUCGUGAGAUGUUGGGUUAAGUCCCGCAACGAGCGCAACCCCUAUUGUUAGUUGCCAUCAUUCAGUUGGGCACUCUAGCGAGACUGCCGGUAAUAAACCGGAGGAAGGUGGGGAUGACGCCAAAUCAUCAUGCCCCUUAUGACCUGGGCUACACACGUGCUACAAUGGUUGGUACAACGAGUUGCGAGUCGGUGACGGCGAGCUAAUCUCUUAAAGCCAAUCUCAGUUCGGAUUGUAGGCUGCAACUCGCCUACAUGAAGUCGGAAUCGCUAGUAAUCGCGGAUCAGCACGCCGCGGUGAAUACGUUCCCGGGCCUU